rnacentral:tRNA from 1 species
UAUGUUUUAGUAUAGGAUGUACGAAAGCUUUUGAUGCUUUAAGGAACAGUUUAAUUCUGUUAAAUAUAA